ensembl:antisense Gm12869 predicted gene 12869
ACGUCCAUUCUCGGCCUUCUUUACUUCCCUCCACCAAUGUGUCCUGCCCUGUAAAACUAAAAUCCAGGUGCAGACCCAGCUAUGCUUGGCACAAGGAACUGUAACGGAAUCACUGUUUCCUGGCACAAAGGAAGGCGAUUCCUCUACUUGGGGGUCAUGAGUGAGACUGAGGCCAUCGUGUCUGCUCCUCAGGAACACUGAGUGGGACCACCAGUGAAGGAGUGGCUCUCUUCCAGGCCACUCGAGGAAACGCUCUUCAGGAAGCUAUGAGUCUCAGAGCUGAGUGGUCUGCGUUCCUCGUCUGCACUAGUUACUAGCACUGUGCCUCUAGACAGGCCUCUCUA